AUCGCUUCUCGGCCUUUUGGCUAAGAUCAAAGUGUAGUAUCUGUUCUUAUCAGCUUAAUAUCUGAUACGAGGACCAUGUGUCCUCUUCGAUAUUAAUCUUAUUUCUGUCAGGGGAUGGAUGUUCCGAUGCUUGCGUUGGCUCUGUCACGGGUCGGCCUGGKAUUGCAGUACCUCCAGGAGUGGCCCACUUCCC
rnacentral:snRNA from 1 species